rnacentral:rRNA from 1 species
GUAUAGUUUAGUUAGUAGGUUAAAGUCAAGGUAAGAAUUCUUUGAUUUUCUAGGGGACGAUAAGACCCUAGAAGUUUUAAAAAAGAAAAAUUUUUAGUAGGAGCAUAGUUUUUUUACUGGGGCGGUAUUAGUGCUUUAACUACUAAUAAUAAAGGUUGAUCCUUAAUAUAAAGAUAAUUCGGUGAAGUUACUCUAGGGGUAACAGUGCGGUAUUUUUGGAGAGGUCUUAUUAAUAAAAAUGUUCGCAACCUCGAUGUUGAAUUAAGAUGUCUACGUGGGGUAGUAAAUAUGAUAGAGGGUUUGUUCAACCUUUAUAGUCUUACAUG